GUGGGGAAUUUUGCGCAAUGGGGGAAACCCUGACGCAGCAAUGCCGCGUGAAGGACGACGGUCUUCGGAUUGUAAACUUCUUUUGCCGGUGAAAAAUGGUUUCGUGAAGAACGAAACGUGAUUGUAAUCGGCGAAUAAGCCACGGCUAACUUCGUGCCAGCAGCCGCGGUAAGACGAAGGUGGCGAGCGUUACUCGGAAUUACUAGGCGUAAAGCGAGAGCAAGCGGUUUGGUCAGUCUGUUGUGAAAGCCCCGGGCUUAACCCGGGGAGGUCAAUGGAUACUGCCGGACUUGGAUAUGGGAGAGGUGACUAGAAUUCCUGGUGUAGCGGUGAAAUGCGUAGAUAUCAGGAGGAAUACCAAUGGCGAAAGCAGGUCACUAGACCAUUAUCGACGCCCAUUCUCGAAAGCUGGGGGAUCAAACAGGAUUAGAUACCCGAGUAGUCC
rnacentral:rRNA from 1 species